CAAUAGCGUAUACUAAUGUUGUUGCAGUUAAAAAGCUCGUAGUUGGAUUUCUGGGAUUUUCAGCCGGCCGGCUCUUAGGAGUUGUAGCUAGGUUUGCAAGUCUCAUCUUCUCACAAUUCUCACUGGCCUUAACUGUUCGGUGCAGAGGACUGAGUCGUUUACUUUGAGAAAAUUAGAGUGUUCAAAGCAGGCUAUCGCCUUGAAUAUAUUAGCAUGGAAUAAUGAUAUAGGACUUUGGUUCUAUUUUGUUGGUUGUUCGAGGACCGAAGUAAUGAUUGAUAGGGACGGUUGGGGGCAUUCAUAUUCCAAUGUCAGAGGUGAAAUUCUUGGAUUAUCGGAAGAUGAACUUCUGCGAAAGCAUCUGCCAAGGAUGUUUUCAUUGAUCAAGAACGAAAGUUAGGGAUCAAAGAUGAUUAGAUACCGU
rnacentral:rRNA from 1 species